rnacentral:rRNA from 1 species
AGAACGAACGCUGGCGGCAUGCCUAACACAUGCAAGUCGAACGAGACCUUCGGGUCUAGUGGCGCACGGGUGCGUAACGCGUGGGAAUCUGCCCUUGGGUUCGGAAUAACAGUUAGAAAUGACUGCUAAUACCGGAUGAUGACGAAAGUCCAAAGAUUUAUCGCCCAGGGAUGAGCCCGCGUAGGAUUAGCUAGUUGGUGAGGUAAAGGCUCACCAAGGCGACGAUCCUUAGCUGGUCUGAGAGGAUGAUCAGCCACACUGGGACUGAGACACGGCCCAGACUCCUACGGGAGGCAGCAGUGGGGAAUAUUGGACAAUGGGCGAAAGCCUGAUCCAGCAAUGCCGCGUGAGUGAUGAAGGCCUUAGGGUGUAAAGCUCUUUUUACCCGGGAUGAUAAGUGACAGUACCGGGAGAAUAAGCUCCGGCUAACUCCGCGCCAGCAGCCGC